rnacentral:rRNA from 1 species
UACGGAAGGGGCAAGCGUUGUUCGGAAUCAUUGGGCGUAAAGGGCGCGCAGGUGGCUCUGUAUGUCUGCCGUGAAAGCAUACAGCUCAACUGUAUUGUGUCGGUAGAAACUGCAGGACUUGAGGCUGGGAGGGGCUGGUGGAAUUCCCUGUGUAGCGGUGAAAUGCGUAGAGAUGGGGGAGAACACUCGUGGCGAAGGCGGCCAGCUAGACCAGUUCUGACACUGAGGCGCGACAGCGUGGGGGAGCAAAACAGG